rnacentral:rRNA from 1 species
GGGGAAUAUUGCACAAUGGGGGAAACCCUGAUGCAGCCAUGCCGCGUGUGUGAAGAAGGCCUUCGGGUUGUAAAGCACUUUCAGUGGGGAGGAAGGGGUGAUGUCUAAUACGCAUCAUCAUUGACGUUACCCACAGAAGAAGCACCGGCUAACUCCGUGCCAGCAGCCGCGGUAAUACGGAGGGUGCAAGCGUUAAUCGGAAUAACUGGGCGUAAAGCGCACGCAGGCGGUUAGAUAAGUCAGAUGUGAAAUCCCCGGGCUCAACCUGGGAACUGCAUUUGAAACUGUCUGACUAGAGUCUUGUAGAGGGGGGUAGAAUUCCAGGUGUAGCGGUGAAAUGCGUAGAGAUCUGGAGGAAUACCGGUGGCGAAGGCGGCCCCCUGGACAAAGACUGACGCUCAGGUGCGAAAGCGUGGGGAGCAAAC